GUUUGUGGCUCACAGGUAGAGCACUCGCCUAGCAUGUGUGAGGCACUGGGUUCGAUCCUCAGCAACACA
rnacentral:tRNA from 1 species